rnacentral:rRNA from 1 species
UACGAAGGGGGCUAGCGUUGCUCGGAAUCACUGGGCGUAAAGGGUGCGUAGGUGGGUCUUUAAGUCAGAGGUGAAAGCCUGGAGCUCAACUCCAGAACUGCCUUUGAUACUGAGGAUCUCGAGUUCGGGAGAGGUGAGUGGAACUGCGAGUGUAGAGGUGAAAUUCGUAGAUAUUCGCAAGAACACCAGUGGCGAAGGCGGCUCACUGGCCCGAUACUGACGCUGAGGCACGAAAGCGUGGGGAGCAAACAGG